GCCGGGCUGUAGAGUGACUAACAGGCUUACAAGACCGCUCGAUUCGUAAUCGAGCGGCCACGAGUUCAAAUCUCGUCACCGGCU
rnacentral:tRNA from 1 species